AACGAACGCUGGCGGCAUGCCUAACACAUGCAAGUCGAACGAGACCUUCGGGGCUAGUGGCGCACGGGUGCGUAACGCGUGGGAACCUGCCCUUAGGUUCGGAAUAACUCAGAGAAAUUUGAGCUAAUACCGGAUGAUGUCUUCGGACCAAAGAUUUAUCGCCUUUAGAUGGGCCCGCGUUGGAUUAGCUAGUUGGUGGGGUAAAGGCCUACCAAGGCGACGAUCCAUAGCUGGUCUGAGAGGAUGAUCGGCCACACUGGGACUGAGACACGGCCCAGACUCCUACGGGAGGCAGCAGUGGGGAAUAUUGGACAAUGGGCGAAAGCCUGAUCCAGCAAUGCCGCGUGAGUGAUGAAGGCCUUAGGGUUGUAAAGCUCUUUUACCCGAGAUGAUAAUGACAGUAUCGGGAGAAUAAGCUCCGGCUAACUCCGUG
rnacentral:rRNA from 1 species